UUGUAAUGUGAGCAGCCUGGGUGCGUCAGUGCAGGUAAGUGACAUGAAAAUGUUCGCCGUGGAGGGUGAGAGCCCCGUCCAGCCUGCACAGGGCGUGCCGUACAGGGCUGUCUCGAAUGAGUCGGGUAGCUUGGGAAUGCUGCUCUAAGAUCGGUGGUAAAUUUCAUCGAAGGCUAAAUACUGCUGGAAGACCGAUAGUGAACAAGUACCGUGAGGGAAAGAUGAAAAGCACUUUGAAAAGAGGGUGAAAAGAAUCUGAAACCGUUGUGAGGGAAGCGGAUUGCGUUGCAGUAACUGUGGGCGCCGGUGUGUUCAGCCUGUUUCGGCGGGUGUAGUGGCACCGGUGGCUCCGUCUGCUGUGGGUUUGUGGUGGCUGAUUGCAAGGCUGCUGCGGACUGAGGGCUCCGUGCUGCUUUGCGGCGGCACGUGAGGACGGCAGGGUGACGACGCGAUACGACCCGUCUUGAAACACGGACCAAGGAGUCUAGCACAGCUGCGAGUCUGAGGGUGUCAAAGCCUGUGGGCGAAGUGAAAGCGAAAGAUGGCGGUAAUUCCAUAUUUUCAGAAUGACAAAGUUGUUGCAAUUUGGGG
rnacentral:rRNA from 1 species